CAGAACAGAUCGCAACUUUGAUCCAAAAAAAAAAAAAAGAUCAGAUCGCGACCUACUUUGAUAGCAGAACGCAGCGCAGCCAAGGAAGAGUGGAAAGACGAGUGUGUGGGUGCGUUGCUUGGCUGGUGGAUCGACUAGGUUAGGUAAGAUCCAAGAAGAAAAUGAGAAAACUUGCUGCAUUACUUAGGGAUGAAGAUCAUGAGAUAGAAGACCUUACUUUGCCUUCCCAUACUGAUGCAGCAUUGGACAUUGAUGAUUGUGAUGAUAUUCAUGUGGGUGUGGAUGGAUAUGAUGAUUAUGAAUUGGAAGAAUGAAGUGCAGUUGUUAUUUUCGAAUUAAUUUAGUAUGAACCUAUGUAUUAUUGAAUUUAAUGUUAUGGGAGUGCUUAUUUAGAACCUUAUUUAAGUAUAUUCAUAUUAUUUAUAAAUGUAAUGUAUUAUUAUAAUAAUUACGGGAAAGGCUUCGCCUCAAUGCCUUGAGGCACUCGCCUCGCGAGGCUAUAGUCGGUCGCCUUCGCCUUCGCUUUCGCAUUUGAAAACA